AUAUAUGAAUUUAGAUUAUGUUAUUUAUGUUAUAUAUGUAAAUUUCUUGUUUUCCGUGUUUUAGUCUGGUAGCAGUGGAAAGCGACGUUGGGCCAUUAGAGAGUCACGUUUUACAUGGUUUGGAAUUUUAUUAUUAACGGGGCAUCAUUGUUAGACACGAGUAGUGUCGGGAAAUUUUUAGGGUUUGGAAUUUACCAAAUUACCCCUAGGUAGCACGUGAGCUUUGUUUUGUGUUAGGGGUAAAAUGGUCAUUCCUUUUAGAAUCCUUAUUUCGUCCUUUUGUGGACAUUAGUGAUAUGAUUUUGUUGGAAAUUAUUUUACCAGGAUCUUAGAUCUACUCACAAGUAUGAUGAUUAACACCAUAAAUAUGAACUUCUAAAACUAUUUAAAUAAACACAUAUAAAGUAUGAGAAAUCUUACAUUGGGUGCAGCAGAAUAAUAUGUCUCCUUCCACUCAGAUCUCUAACCCAGGCAUCCGAGCCUUCCUCCAAUCCCAGGAGGUAUAUAUAUACUAUUAUUUGAGGGAAACUUGUUGAGAAAAUUUCGAUUUGAUUAAUGGCUGAUCCAUCACCUAGGGCUCGGGCUGAUUAUGAUUAACUUAGUAAUCUUCUGUUGAUCGGCGACAGAGGUAUGUACUCCUUAUGUAUUAAUCUGUUUUAUUUUAUGCUAUUUUUACUAUCAAAUUUAGGGUCAAUUUCUGUUUCUAAAGAUUCUUCACUUUAUUUCUAAUCAAAAUAAAUAAUUGUU